AAUAUCCCAAAAUUUUAGUAAUUAUUAACUAUGUUUACUUGAUUUAUGUUUACUAUUGUUUUAUAAUAAUUAAUAUUUUAUAAUAGUGCACAUUUGUUUUGGAUAGAGUACUUGACUCUUGUUUAGAUAAGCACGCUUGACCCAAAUUUAGGAAGUUGAUAAGUAGUAAUAUUUUUAAAAAAAAACUCUAGUUUCAAUCCUAAAUUACCCCGUGCUUAUCUACAUAGUAGUAUAAAUAUUAACUAGUGCAGUGCUAGAUAACAAGGCAAACUGGUGUUGGUGAAACAGAGUGGCUGGGUUCCGUGAGCAAGUCUGGUAUCACGUGUGUUAACAGUAACACAAAUAGAAUAGAGCUCUAGAGUAAUAAAGGGAAGGAAGGCUCUAUAAAUUAGCAGGGUGUAUACUGUGACGGAGGUUCGAUUUUCAUAUUUAAAUGCAUUAGUUAUACUAUAUUAUAAUCCUAUUAAUCGUAGCUUAUUUUUCAGGGUUAUAAUCAAUUGUACUUGUUGCUACUUUCUUUCGGUGCUCUUAAUUAAGGUGAGUUUAAUAUUUUGUAUAUUCGAUAUUUAUUUAAUUAUUGAAUAUCUUGUAAUCUAAGUCCAGAUUUUGUUAGAUUUUUGUUAAUAUGCUUGCAUUGUUUAGGGUCUAAAAUAUUAUUGAGAAACCAUAUCAUUCAUGUUUUAAUACAAUUUCUUAAAAAAUAUAUUUUUUAGCAGUGGUAAAUAUUGCGGGCUAUUGAUUCAGGCUUGACUACGAUUUUCAACUCUUGUUUAUUUGAUUUGUAUUAGUAUACAUGUGUGCUUCUCAUGUUCUUAUUUGGGGAGUUUAAUUAUAGUGGUUUAAGCAUACCACAUGUUAUAUUAUAUGUACUCAUUGGUUAAAUUUUGUAGUCAUUAACUUGCAUUUUUAAAACUAAUUUCUUUGUAAUUUAUUAAUUACAUUAU
rnacentral:lncRNA from 1 species